UACUAUUACAAAGCCAACUGAAAAACG
rnacentral:piRNA from 1 species